UAUAUCGCGUUGAAACACUGGUUCUCAUACGAUCACCGAAGCUAAGCAACGUCCAACCUGGUCAGUACCUAGAUGGGUGAAUGCUUGGAAAUACUAGGUGCUGUAAG